UACAGUGUAGUGAAAAAGGCAGGAAACCUAUUAGGCUCUUCAACUCAUGGCUAGAAGAUCCAGAAUUUAUCUCCAUUGCCAGGAGUGGCCUGGUUAAAGAGUUUAAAGGUACAUGCCCAUUUAAAAUACAACAGAAACUGAAAGCUGUAAAAAUCUUAGCAAUGAAAUGGGUUAGAAAGAAAGGCAAUUUUGACAAACAAGCAGUAACAAGGGAAGAUUUUGACAG
rnacentral:lncRNA from 1 species